rnacentral:rRNA from 1 species
UACCACCGGUUCUACGCCGUCGGGGUACGAGACAAGGCUACCCGGAGGAGACGAGCUACCAACUGCGACCAACUCAAACCAUGCCAAAGGACAACAACGAACACAGCUCGGUACCCAGGCAGAGAGGAAGCGUGACUCGCAUUAAGAGGACAGCGACCGCGAAGAAGAAGAGCAGGCAGGACGACGAAUGGUUUCACGAAGACGAACGACGGAGUCCAACAUGCUAGAGAAGACAGUGACAGUAAGCUGAGUAAUUCCCACACAUACGAACAAAGGCAACAAUAUGGACAAAACCUCCGACACCCAUCGAGCUACGCGAAACGGCAGGGAAAGUAUAGACACACAUCAGCCUCCUACCGAGACAAGAACGACCACAUCUUGAGCUCGAGGGUACCCUGUCUAGACCAGGAUACCUCUUCGAACUACUUGUUCGGCUCCGUUCGAGACCACCAUUUCGACUUUGAAGUAGUGGAUGACAACUUCUUUUCCUACUACUGUUACUGGUCCGAGUUCACUGGUCUUUGUUUUCUUACUUCACCGUUCGUAUCUUCUUUACGUCUCGGUCAAAGGGAGCCUAUGUCACAUAAUGUGACUCAGACUCCUAUGUGUUGUCAGAUAACUCCAAUUAACUAAGUAACUGCUGUGGCAGUUGGCUUUGACGUUAACACGUAAGUCAAUGUUCAUCACACGAACUUAAACUCCUACACCUGCUUCUUAAACUACUUAGGCAGCUAAUACUGCGUUACAAACAACUUCUUGUACAACUUUAAUGCCUACUUCUCCUUCGACGCCUACUUCCUCUACUUCUCCUUCUACUCCUACUCCUACUCCUACCUCUCCUUCUGCCCCUACUCCUACUUCUCCUUCUACCUCGACUCCUUCCUGUACGUCAACCAAGAUUCUCUUUCGAGUGUAGUUAACAGACCCAACUAAAGUUCUUUCACUUCCAGGCACCCUCUACCUUCCGUGUUACAGAAGUAACAUUCUUCUUUGAACCUCCCCUUAGUUUCUUACCCUGUUUCGUAGAAGUACAAGUAAACCACCGAACAUGAUAAACUCGGUUAGAAGAAACUCCAAGUCAAGAUCAUCGGUACCUUUUCAAAGCCACCUCUUGAUAUGAAAAUUGGUUCAAAAACAAUCUUUCUACGAACGAAGGUACUAACACGACGUACUCAUGAGGAAUAGGUAUCAACUAGUAUGCCCCAAAAUUUCUAAACAAUCACGUAACGUUUGGAACAAAUGAUACCACUGUUCUUUGUGAUAAUCCUCCCUAUAAAACCUGCGAAUGUUUCAACUUUCCUUCUUCCGAUAGCUCAUCUACCGACGUUUAGCUAGUUCCCACCGAUAGUGAUGACUAAAUACCUGCCGACCGUUAGUUUUCUUUCCUACGUACCUUUAGUGCCCGGUAAAGUAACUACUGAGAACCUUUUAAUCCUCACAAUAGUACUCCAUAUACUACAAUAAAAUAGCUAUCAACAAAAACAUCAUGCAAGAAACGACAACAAAAAUAACUAUAAACUACAACAUCAUGUAACAAACCACAACAAAAUAGCUAUAAACGACAACAUCAUGUAACAAACCACAACAAAAAUAAUUAUAAACGACCACAUCAUGUAACAACCACAACAAACAUAGAUAUCAACAACAACAUCAUGUAAGAAACCACAACAAGAAUAACUAUAAACGACGACAUCAUGUAAC